GGGAAGUCCUCGUGUUGCAUCCC
rnacentral:sRNA from 1 species